rnacentral:rRNA from 1 species
UGGGGAAUAUUGCACAAUGGGCGAAAGCCUGAUGCAGCGACGCCGCGUGAGGGAUGACGGCCUUCGGGUUGUAAACCUCUUUCAGCAGGGACGAAGCGCAAGUGACGGUACCUGCAGAAGAAGCACCGGCUAACUACGUGCCAGCAGCCGCGGUAAUGCGUAGGGUGCAAGCGUUGUCCGGAAUUACUGGGCGUAAAGAGUUCGUAGGCGGUUUGUCGCGUCGUUUGUGAAAACCAGCAGCUCAACUGCUGGCUUGCAGGCGAUACGGGCAGACUUGAGUACUGCAGGGGAGACUGGAAUUCCUGGUGUAGCGGUGAAAUGCGCAGAUAUCAGGAGGAACACCGGUGGCGAAGGCGGGUCUCUGGGCAGUAACUGACGCUGAGGAACGAAAGCGUGGGUAGCGAACAGG